rnacentral:rRNA from 1 species
UGGUGGAGUGAUUUGUCUGGUUAAUUCCGUUAACGAACGAGACCUCGACCUGCUAAAUAGUUUGGGGAAGCCUUCGGGCUUCCUGCACAACUUCUUAGAGGGACUAUCAGUGGUCUAACCUGAUGGAGGUUCGAGGCAAUAACA